rnacentral:rRNA from 1 species
CGGGGCUAUCAUGCAGUCGAGCGGACGGAUGGGAGCUUGCUCCCUGAAGUCAGCGGCGGACGGGUGAGUAACACGUGGGCAACCUGCCUGUAAGACUGGGAUAACUCCGGGAAACCGGGGCUAAUACCGGAUAACUCUUUUCCUCACAUGAGGAAAAGCUGAAAGAUGGUUUCGGCUAUCACUUACAGAUGGGCCCGCGGCGCAUUAGCUAGUUGGUGAGGUAACGGCUCACCAAGGCCACGAUGCGUAGCCGACCUGAGAGGGUGAUCGGCCACACUGGGACUGAGACACGGCCCAGACUCCUACGGGAGGCAGCAGUAGGGAAUCUUCCGCAAUGGACGAAAGUCUGACGGAGCAACGCCGCGUGAGUGAUGAAGGUUUUCGGAUCGUAAAACUCUGUUGUCAGGGAAGAACAAGUACCGGAGUAACUGCCGGUACCUUGACGGUACCUGACCAGAGAGCCACGGCUAACUACGUGCCAGCAGCCGCGGUAAUACGUAGGUGGCAAGCGUUGUCCGGAAUUAUUGGGCGUAAAGCGCGCGCAGGCGGGUCCUUUAGUCUGAUGUGAAAAGCCCCCGCCUCACCCGGGGAAGGGUCAUUGGAAACUGGGGAACUUGGAGUGCAGAAGAAAAAAAUGGUAUUUCCCGGUGUAGCGAUGAAAUGGGUAGAAAUGUGGGAGAACCACCAGUGGCGAAGGCGAAUUUUUGGUCUGUAACUUGAAGCUGACUCGCGGGAGGCGUGGGGAAGCUAUAUAAUUGAUUUUCCUGGGUAGGCCCGCGCCGUAACCGAUGAAUUCCAGGAUGUAAUAAGUGUUGCUCGCCUUUUAUU